rnacentral:miRNA from 1 species
GUGUGUGGGGUGUGUGUGUGUGUGUGUGUGUGUGUGUGUGCGUGCGUGUGCAUGCACAUGCACACAUAUACAGACACAACACA